AGAAAAUUAAUCCUGCGGAUGUAUUUGACAUUCGAAGGCGAUUGUCGGAUGAUAAGCAGAAACGAAAAUACUUACCUAAAAUAUAUGAUCCUUUCGUGAAUGGAGGCUUUCGUGCAGAAAUCCAAAAAAAUGUUUCACUUCGACCCUUUAUUACAAAUGAAACUGACACAACAAACUCCAUUUUGGUAAAUAAGAUUCAUGGUCUCCUUAUUUCUAAUAAUAGUAAUUCUCUAGAAUUUGACCAGAAAAUAGAUCAAUUUGAUAGAAAAUUAUUAUUAACUAAAAUUGGGUUUUUUGUUAAGUUAAUCAGUAAAUUUUCGGAAAAAUCAGUAUCAAGUUUGGAUUUUGACGCAAUUCACUUAUUUCCAGAACAUGAACAAGGAAAAAUGUAUUCCGAAGAAAAAAAAACUUUUUUUUCGACGCAAUUCGGACUACUCAUACCAACGAUACAAUUUUCACUACAAGUUUAUCGAGUGAAAUAAACGAAAUAAGUAAAGAAGUUCCUCGAUGGGAAUACCAAUUGAUCGACGACAUCGAGGUAGGGCUGAAUCNGAAGAAAAUUAAUCCUGCGGAUGUAUUUGACAUUCGAAGGCGAUUGUCGGAUGAUAAGCAGAAACGAAAAUACUUACCUAAAAUAUAUGAUCCUUUCGUGAAUGGAGGCUUUCGUGCAGAAAUCCAAGACAACGUUUCACUUCGACCCUUUAUUACAAAUGAAACUGACACAACAAACUCCAUUUUGGUAAAUAAGAUUCAUGGUCUCCUUAUUUCUAAUAAUAGUAAUUCUCCAGAAUUUGACCAGAAAAUAGAUCAAUAUGAUAGAAAAUUAUUAUUAACUAAAAUUGGGUUUUUUGUUAAGUUAAUCAGUAAAUUUUCGGAAAAAUCAGUAUCAAGUUUGGAUUUUGACGCACUUCACUUAUUUCCAGAACAUGAACAAGGAAAAAUGUAUUCCGAAGAAAGAAAAAAAAACUUUUUUUCCGACGCAAUUCGGACUACUCAUACCAACGAUACAAUUUUCACUACAAGUUUAUCGAGUGAAAUAAACGAAAUAAGUAAAGAAGUUCCUCGAUGGGAAUACCAAUUGAUCGACGACAUUGAGGUAGGGAUGAAUCCUACCAUACACACAAAGGAUCCUCAGAUUUGUUGCCGAUUACCGGGUGAGCAAAUUGUUUUCAGUUGUGAGACACUGUUCUCUAAGACGGAUGAGGCUUACAAUCGAGAUUUUUCGAGGAAGCAUCCAUCAAUAGACCCAAGUACGUACUUUCGUAUCCCGCAUUUUCUAUGGGAAAUGGAUUUCGACCGAGAGAUUAUCAGAGGAUCCGUGCACGGCCAAAGGCGUAAAAUAGCCAUUUUGAAACUCUUUCAAGCAAAUGUCCAUUCCCCAAUUUUUGUAGACAACUACCCGUUUGGUGGUCUUUUCGAUGAUAUCGUCCAAUAUGUGAAAGAAUAUUUCAGGAAACCUGGCACUGAUAAUUCGAAAUUUUUGCAGUUUCAGAAAGUGCAAGAAGAGAGACGGAAAGAGGACCAGAAAGACGAGAUUGAAAACAGACUUGAAAAAAUCGAAGAGGCCUGGGAGAGCAUUCUAUAUGGUCAAUGGAAAAAGAAGGGUCCGAGACGGAAAUAGCAGCAACAACUGGGUUUAUUACGGGACGCCUGAUGAUCUUCAUAUCCAUCUAUUAUACGCCUUUGCAUUUGGCAUUGAAUAGACCUCAUACGGUAUGAUUCUUACUAGUACCUUAUCUUUUCUUUUAUUUUCUAUACCACAAUGGCAAUCAUUUCUAUCGGUCGGCUUGGGUAUCCGACCUGUCUUCUGGAUACAAGGAUCCAGUUUUGGUGGAUUCUGGAUACAAGAAUCCAAACUCAAUACGUAAUUUGAGGAUUUACAAAGUAUUCUUCAAUAAUCUUUUGUUUCAACUGUUUUAUCCCGUUGUUGUUCAGAGUUCAAUCGUACUAAGAGUAAUGAACAUUUAUCUGUUUCGAUCCAACAAGAAAUUGUUCUUCUUAAUAAGUAGUUUUGUUGGGUGUUAAUUGGUCACAUCUUUUUGAUGAAAUGUAUUGGAUUGGUAUUAGUCGGGUUAAAGCAAAAAAAUUCGAUCAAAUCUAAGAUAACUAUGAGAUUUGAUAAAUACACUCUCCUACAAUUGCGAAAAUUAUACGGCGCAAAUGUUUGGAGCUUUUGCAUUUUUCUUCUUUGCACUCUAUUUAGGCAACUCACCGUCCCCGUAUUAUUAUGGUGCCGAAAUGGGAGACUACGACGAAAACCGGGAGGGGGAAAUCCAAGCUGCAAUAGAUCCGGACGAAACUAACCAAGAAGAUAUUACUGUUUAUCUUUCUCAGAAUGAGAAAAAAGAGACGACUUCCAACAACAUAAAUAUUGACAAAAAUAAAAAACUGGCCCCAUUGGAAAAAUCUCUUGUAACGACUCUUUUCGAUUAUAAUCGAUGGAGUAGGCCUUUGCGAUAUAUAGAAAAUCAUAAGUUUAACAGGAUUGAAAAAGAUGAAAAUUCACAAUUUUUCUUUCAAACAUGAGAAAGUGAUGGAAAAAAACGAAUAUCUUUCACGUAUCCACCUCAUUUAUCUACUUUUCAGAAACUCCUGGAAAAAAAAAUGGAUCUCUUCAGAAGCGAUAGCGAUAAAACCUCCUAUAAUCAUAAUGAUCUUUCACGUAUCCACCUCAUUUAUCUACUUUUCAGAAACUCCUGGAAAAAAAAAUGGAUCUCUUCAGAAGCGAUAGCGAUAAAACCUCCUAUAAUCAUAAUGAAUUGUUUAAUUAUUGGAGCUCGACUAAUAAAGAAAAACUAAAUCAACUAAGCAAUGAAUUAUUUCAAAAGGCAAAAAUUAUAGAUAGGAAAGAUAAGAAGAAAAUUAAUCCUGCGGAUGUAUUUGACAUUCGAAGGCGAUUGUCGGAUGAUAAACAGAAACGAAAAUACUUACCUAAAAUAUAUGAUCCUUUCGUGAAUGGAGGCUUUCGUGCAGAAAUCCAAAACAACGUUUCACUUCGACCCUUUAUUACAAAUGAAACUGACACAACAAACUCCAUUUUUGUAAAUAAGAUUCAUGGUCUCCUUAUUUCUAAUAAUAGUAAUUCUCCAGAAUUUGACCAGAAAAUAGAUCAAUUUGAUAGAAAAUUAUUAUUAACUAAAAUUGGGUUUUUUGUUAAGUUAAUCAGUAAACUGACACAACAAACUCCAUUUUGGUAAAUAAGAUUCAUGGUCUCCUUAUUUCUAAUAAUAGUAAUUCUCCAGAAUUUGACCAGAAAAUAGAUCAAUUUGAUAGAAAAUUAUUAUUAACUAAAAUUGAGUUUUUUGUUAAGUUAAUUAGUAAAUUUUCGGAAAAAUCAGUAUCAAGUUUGGAUUUUGACGCACUUCACUUAUUUCCAGAACAUGAACAAGGAAAAAUGUAUUCCGAAGAAGAAAAAAAA
rnacentral:lncRNA from 1 species